UUAAGAGUUUUUUGUUGUUUUUUUAAGUCGAAAACAUUCAACCUUUGAAAGCCAGAAUUGUUCACUUUCUUUCCCCUCAAUUUUCUUUGUGAGAUUUUUAAUGGCGCUCAUUGCUAAUGACGUCAUUGUUGCCCGGAUGUUCGGACUAAGCACGAACAGAACGGCAACAUCUGAACGUUGGAAGAAGACGAUGUCCAUCCAGGGCGCUUCAUUUCAAUAUUCUCCGAUACAGAAGCACAGUGUGAGGAAACUAAAACGAUGGUUGAAAUGCAGAAGACUCAAAGUGAGCGGAAAGAAAGCAGCCCUGGUUUGAAAGGGUUUGAGCCGUCACUACGUGAAAAGGAAGCCAGCUUCUCACCGAGGAGCUGUCAGCGGUCCCAGUUCCCAUCCAUCAGGAGCUGCUGCCGUGGUGCCCUGGACGUCUGACUGGGAGCAAACUGUACCAACAGAUGUUAUAAUGGAGGCAACAGCUGGAGGACGGUCUUCACCUUGCAGAUUGUCCUGAUUCUAUCAGUUUUCUGCUUUAAAGCCUUCCUGGUUCUGGAGCAGACAGCAGAGGCGACGAGUGGGUUUGGUCCCGGAGGAGCAUAAGGAACGAAGUGAGUCAUUCUGAGAAAGAUCUUCCUGGUGAUUAGAAGAGACACAGCUGAAGCUCCAAACUGAGCCUCCCAAAAAUAAAAGGAUGUUCCUCA